rnacentral:rRNA from 1 species
GACGAACGCUGGCGGCGUGCCUAAUACAUGCAAGUCGAGCGAAGUUUUUCUGGUGCUUGCACCGGAAAAACUUAGCGGCGCACGGGUGAGUAACACGUAAAGAACCUGCCUCAUAGACUGGGACAACUAUUGGAAACGAUAGCUAAUACCGGAUAACAGCAUUAACUGCAUGGUUGAUGUUUAAAAGUUGGUUUUGCUAACACUAUGAGAUGGCUUUGCGGUGCAUUAGCUAGUUGGUGGGGUAAAGGCCUACCAAGGCGACGAUGCAUAGCCGACCUGAGAGGGGGAUCGGCCAAACUGGGACUGAGACACGGCCCAGACUCCUACGGGAGGCAGCAGUAGGGAAUCUUCCGCAAAGGGCGAAAGCCUGACGGAGCAACGCCGCGUGAGUGAAGAAGGAUUUCGGUUCGUAAAGCUCUGUUGUUAGGGAAGAAUGAUUGUGUAGUAACUAUACACAGUAGAGACGGUACCUAACCAGAAAGCCACGGCUAACUACGUG